GUGCCGGUAGCUCAGUGGGUAGGGUGUCUAUUUACUAAGCUGAAGGUUGCAAGUUCAACUCCUACCUGGCGUG
rnacentral:tRNA from 1 species